AAUCAACGCUGGCGGCGCGCUUAACACAUGCAAGUCGAACGGGAAAGUGGAGCAAUCCAUGAGUACAGUGGCGUACGGGUGAGUAACACGUGGGUAAUCUGCCUUCUGGUGGGGAAUAACUCUGGGAAACCGGAGCUAAUACCGCAUAAGCCUGGAAAGGGAAAGCAGGAAACUGCGCCGGAAGAGGAGCCCGCGGCCGAUUAGCUGGCUGGUGAGGUAAAGGCUCACCAGGGCGAAGAUCGGUAGCCGGCCUGAGAGGGCACACGGCCACACUGGCACUGAAACACGGGCCAGACUCCUACGGGAGGCAGCAGUGGGGAAUCUUGCACAAUGGGGGCAACCCUGAUGCAGCGACGCCGCGUGAGCGAUGAAGCCCCUUCGGGGUGUAAAGGCUCUUUCGACGGGAACGAUAAUGACGGUACCCGGA
rnacentral:rRNA from 1 species